AGUGAACGCUGGCGGUAGGCCUAACACAUGCAAGUCGAACGGCAGCACAGUAAGAGCUUGCUCUUACGGGUGGCGAGUGGCGGACGGGUGAGGAAUACAUCGGAAUCUACUUUUUCGUGGGGGAUAACGUAGGGAGACUUACGCUAAUACCGCAUACGACCUACGGGUGAAAGCAGGGGAUCUUCGGACCUUGCGCGAUUGAAUGAGCCGAUGUCGGAUUAGCUAGUUGGCGGGGUAAAGGCCCACCAAGGCGACGAUCCGUAGCUGGUCUGAGAGGAUGAUCAGCCACACUGGAACUGAGACACGGUCCAGACUCCUACGGGAGGCAGCAGUGGGGAAUAUUGGACAAUGGGCGCAAGCCUGAUCCAGCCAUACCGCGUGGGUGAAGAAGGCCUUCGGGUUGUAAAGCCCUUUUGUUGGGAAAGAAAAGCAGCAGGUUAAUACCCCGCUGUCCUGACGGUACCCAAAGAAUAAGCACCGGCUAACUUCGUG
rnacentral:rRNA from 1 species